GACGAACGCUGGCGGCGUGCCUAAUACAUGCAAGUUGAGCGCUGAAGGUUGGUACUUGUACCGACUGGAUGAGCAGCGAACGGGUGAGUAACGCGUGGGGAAUCUGCCUUUGAGCGGGGGACAACGUUUGGAAACGAAUGCUAAUACCGCAUGAAAACUUUAAACACAAGUUUUAAGUUUGAAAGAUGCAAUUGCAUCACUCAAAGAUGAUCCCGCGUUGUAUUAGCUAGUUGGUGAGGUAAAGGCUCACCAAGGCGAUGAUACAUAGCCGACCUGAGAGGGUGAUCGGCCACAUUGGGACUGAGACACGGCCCAAACUCCUACGGGAGGCAGCAGUAGGGAAUCUUCGGCAAUGGACGAAAGUCUGACCGAGCAACGCCGCGUGAGUGAAGAAGGUUUUCGGAUCGUAAAACUCUGUUGGUAGAGAAGAACGUUGGUGAGAGUGGAAAGCUCAUCAAGUGACGGUAACUACCCAGAAAGGGACGGCUAACUACGUGCCAGCCGCCGCAGUAA
rnacentral:rRNA from 1 species